GUUUUAAUAAUUUAAUAAAAAUAGUGGUCUUGUAAGCCAAAUAGAAGUAGUAACUUUUAAAACU
rnacentral:tRNA from 1 species